rnacentral:misc_RNA from 1 species
UUUCCGUAGGUGAACCUGCGGAAGGACCAUUAUUGAAAUAAACCUGAUGGGUUGUUGCUGGCUCUCUAGGGAGCAUGUGCACGCCUUGUCAUCUUUAUAUCUCCACCUGUGCACCUUUUGUAGACCUUUCAGGUCUAUGUUGCUUCAUUUAUACCCCAAUGUAUGUUAAUAGAAUGUUGUGCCUAUAUUAUAAUAUAUACAACUUUCAGCAACGGAUCUCUUGGCUCUC